GUUGAAGCAAAAGUCAUAAAGUGAAGAUUCUUCAGUCCUUCAUCACAAAAAAGAUUCUUCAGUCCAUGAAAAUCCAUUUGGGAAAUAAAAUUACAAAAGAAGAAGAAAGUGGUCGACAAAGGGCUACUUCAGGUCUGUCAAAGGCUACUCAUUCUCUGUUUUGCUGAGAAGAAAAAAAAAGGCUACUCAUUCUCAAGUGAAAAACAGAGUGGAGAAAAACCAUCUUGAUAUUAUUUCUCAUUUGCAAUCCUCCCUAUUUGUUAUUCUUUAUCACCUUCAAUUGAAACCUCCCCUUGUAAGCUCUCGACGUAUACAAUUCUUCUGAAGAAAAUAUUCAAGUUCCUAAAUCUAUCUUCAAGUUGAAUAUCAGAUGGUGUAAAUCUUGGGCAUCAAUUUCGAGUAGUGGACUCAGGGCUGGAGGUUGGAGUUGAAAUUUUUUAUAUAUUAGUUUAUUAAUUUGAAUAUUUUAAAUUGUAGUUCAAUUCUACUUAUGUCUAUAUCAUCUAUUCAUUCUUUAUUAA